rnacentral:rRNA from 1 species
UUGUCCGGAUUGUACUGGGUGUAAAGGGCGUGUAGCCGGGUCGGCAAGUCAGAUGUGAAAUCCACGGGCUUAACUCGUGAACUGCAUUUGAAACUGUUGAUCUUGAGUAUCGGAGAGGCAAUCGGAAUUCCUAGUGUAGCGGUGAAAUGCGUAGAUAUUAGGAGGAACACCAGUGGCGAAGGCGGAUUGCUGGACGACAACUGACGGUGAGGCGCGAAAGCGUGGGGAGCAAACAGGAUUAGAUACCCUGGUAGUCCACGCUGUAAACGAUGAAUACUAGGUGUGCGGGAACUGACCCCCUGCGUGCCGCAGCUAACGCAAUAAGUAUUCCACCUGGGGAGUACGAUCGCAAGGUUGAAACUCAAAGGAAUUGACGGGGGCCCGCACAAGCGGUGGAUUAUGUGGUUUAA